rnacentral:rRNA from 1 species
UACAGAGGUCUCGAGCGUUGUUCGGAUUCAUUGGGCGUAAAGGGUGCGUAGGUGGCUAGGUAAGUCGGAUGUGAAAUCUCGGGGCUCAACCCCGAAACUGCAUUCGAUACUGCCUGGCUAGAGUACUGGAGAGGGGAUUGGAAUUUACGGUGUAGCAGUGAAAUGCGUAGAUAUCGUAAGGAAGACCAGUGGCGAAGGCGGAUCUCUGGACAGUUACUGACACUGAGGCACGAAGGCCAGGGGAGCAAACGGG